rnacentral:rRNA from 1 species
GACUACACGGGUAUCUAAUCCUGUUUGCUACCCACGCUCUCGCGUCUCAGCGUCAGUAUAGGGCCAGAAAGUCGCCUUCGCCACCGGUGUUCCUCCUGAUAUCUACGAAUUUCACCUCUACACCAGGAAUUCCACUUUCCUCUCCCCUACUCCAGCCGGACAGUUUCAAAUGCACGUCCUGGGUUAAGCCCAGGGAUUUCACAUCUGACUGAUCCAGCCGCCUACACGCUCUUUACGCCCAAUAAUUCCGAACAACGCUCGCACCCCCCGUAUUACCGCGGCUGCUGGCACGGAGUUAGCCGGUGCUUCCUUUAGCGGUACCGUCAAGCAUGAUGGAUAUUAGCCACCAUGCAUUUCUUCCCGCUCGACAGAGCUUUACGGUCCGAAAACCUUCCUCACUCACGCGGCGUUGCUGCGUCAGGGUUGCCCCCAUUGCGCAAUAUUCCUCACUGCAGCCGCCCGUAGG